AGUUGAUCAUGGCUCAGAACGAACGCUGGCGGCGCGUCUUAAGCAUGCAAGUCGAACGGCAAGAGGUAGCAAUACCUCCUAGAGUGGCGGACUGGUGAGUAACACGUGGGUGACAUACCCUUCAGAUGGGGAUAGCUAUUAGAAAUAGUAGAUAAUACCGAAUACGAGCACAGGGGUUAGAGAUCUGUGAGGAAAGGAGCCAAGGCUCCGCUGAAGGAAUGGCCUGCGGCCCAUUAGCUAGUUGGUGAGGUAAGAGCCCACCAAGGCGAUGAUGGGUAUCCGGCCUUAGAGGGUGAACGGACACAUUGGGACUGAGAUACGGCCCAGACUCCUACGGGAGGCAGCAGCUAAGAAUAUUCCGCAAUGGACGAAAGUCUGACGGAGCGACGCCGCGUGGAUGAAGAAGGCCGGAAGGUUGUAAAAUCCUUUUGAAACUGAAGAAUAAGCGUUGUAGGGAAUGACAGCGUGGUGACAGUAGGUUUUGAAUAAGCAACGGCUAAUUACGUGCCAGCCGCAGC
rnacentral:rRNA from 1 species